AACGAACGCUGGCGGCAGGCUUAACACAUGCAAGUCGAACGGAUCCUUCGGGAUUAGUGGCAGACGGGUGAGUAACGCGUGGGAACGUACCCUUUGCUACGGAAUAACUCAGGGAAACUUGAGCUAAUACCGUAUGUGCCCUACGGGGGAAAGAUUUAUCGGCAAAGGAUCGGCCCGCGUUGGAUUAGCUAGUUGGUGGGGUAAUGGCCUACCAAGGCGACGAUCCAUAGCUGGUCUGAGAGGAUGAUCAGCCACACUGGGACUGAGACACGACCCAGACUCCUACGGGAGGCAGCAGUGGGGAAUAUUGGACAAUGGGCGCAAGCCUGAUCCAGCCAUGCCGCGUGAGUGAUGAAGGUCUUAGGAUUGUAAAGCUCUUUCACCGGUGAAGAUAAUGACGGUAGCCGGAGAAGAAGCCCCGGCUAACUUCGUG
rnacentral:rRNA from 1 species